rnacentral:rRNA from 1 species
GUCUUUUUGAGUUAUUUUUAAAGUCUGACCUGCCCACUGAGUUUUAAAUGGCCGCAGUAUUUUAACUGUGCAAAGGUAGCAUAAUCAUUAGUCUUUUAAUUGAAGGCUGGUAUGAACGGUUGGACGAGGUAUAAGCUGUUUCAUAUAAAAUUAUAAUAGAAUUUUAUAUUUUAGUUAAAAAGCUAAAAUAUAAUUAAAAGACGAGAAGACCCUAUAAAUCUUUAUACUUUAGAUAAUUUAAAUUUUUUGGGUUUAUUUUAUUUUUAUUAUAUUGAGUAUUUUGUUGGGGUGAUAUUAAAAUUUAAUGAACUUUUAAUUGUGUUUAAAUCAUUAAUUUAUGAAUUGUUGAUCCAUUAAUAGUGAUUAUAAGAUUAAGUUACUUUAGGGAUAACAGCGUAAUUUUUUUGGAGAGUUCAUAUCGAUAAAAAAGUUUGCGACCUCGAUGUUGGAUUAAGAUAUAAUUUUAGGUGUAGUCGCUUAAAUGUUAAGUCUGUUCGACUUUUAAAUUCUU